rnacentral:tRNA from 1 species
UGGGGUGUAGCUCAGUGGUAGAGCCCUUGUCUAGCAUGCAUGAGGACCUGAGGUCCGUCCCCAGCACCACAA